AGCGAACGCUGGCGGCAGGCCUAACACAUGCAAGUCGAACGAACCUUUCGGGGUUAGUGGUGGACGGGUGGGCAACACGUGGGAACGUGCCUAUAGGUUUGGAAUAACUCAGGGAAACUCGUCCUAAUACCGAAUGUGCUCUUCGGGGGGAUGUGUAGUCGCCUUUAGAGCGGCCUGUGUCCGAUUAGCUAGUUGGUUGAGGUAAUGGCUCACCAAGGCGACGAUCAGUAGCUGGUCUGAGAGGAUGAUCAGCCACAUUGGGACUGAGACACGGCCCAAACUCCUACGGGAGGCAGCAGUGGGGAAUCUUGCGCAAUGGGCGAAAGCCUGACGCAGCCAUGCCGCGUGAAUGAUGAAAGUCUUAGGAUUGUAAAAUUCUUUCACCGGGGACGAUAAUGACGGUACCCGGAGAAGAAGCCCCGGCUAACUUCGUG
rnacentral:rRNA from 1 species